GGACUGUCUAGAUUAGCCAUGCAUGUGUAAGUAUAAAUAUUUAACUUUGAAACUGCGAAUGGCUCAUUAUAUCAGUUAUAGUUUAUUUGAUGAAAAGUACUACUUGGAUAACCGUAGUAAUUCUAGAGCUAAUACAUGAUAAAAUCCUCGACUUUGAAGAGGUGUAUUUAUUAGAAUGAAACCAAUAGACUUCGGUCUGUUUGUGAGUAAUAAUAACUAAUCGUAUCGCAUGCUUAGGUAGCGAUAUGUCUUUCAAGUUUCUGCCCUAUCAGCUUUGGAUGGUAGUGUAUUGGACUACCAUGGCAGUAACGGGUAACGAAGAAUUUGGGUUCGAUUUCGGAGAGGGAGCCUGAGAGAUGGCUACCACAUCCAAGGAAGGCAGCAGGCGCGUAAAUUACCCAAUCCUGACAUAGGGAGGUAGUGACAAUAAAUCACAAUGCGGAACUAUUAGUUUUGCAAUUGGAUUGAGAACAAUGUACAAAUGUUAUCGAUAAACAAUUGGAGGGCAAGUCUGGUGCCAGCAGCCGCGGUAAUUCCAGCUCCAAUAGCGUAUAUUAACGUUGUUGCAG
rnacentral:rRNA from 1 species